AUUGAACGCUGGCGGCAUGCCUUACACAUGCAAGUCGAACGGCAGCAUAGGAGCUUGCUCCUGAUGGCGAGUGGCGAACGGGUGAGUAAUAUAUCGGAACGUGCCCUAGAGUGGGGGAUAACUAGUCGAAAGACUAGCUAAUACCGCAUACGAUCUACGGAUGAAAGUGGGGGAUCGCAAGACCUCAUGCUCCUGGAGCGGCCGAUAUCUGAUUAGCUAGUUGGUGGGGUAAAAGCUCACCAAGGCGACGAUCAGUAGCUGGUCUGAGAGGACGACCAGCCACACUGGGACUGAGACACGGCCCAGACUCCUACGGGAGGCAGCAGUGGGGAAUUUUGGACAAUGGGGGCAACCCUGAUCCAGCAAUGCCGCGUGAGUGAAGAAGGCCUUCGGGUUGUAAAGCUCUUUUGUCAGGGAAGAAACGGUUCUGGAUAAUACCUGGAGCUAAUGACGGUACCUGAAGAAUAAGCACCGGCUAACUACGUGCCAGCCGCCGCGGUAA
rnacentral:rRNA from 1 species